rnacentral:lncRNA from 1 species
GGGAGAAGCAGAGCAGGGGGCCGACACGGGGCUUAUGCCCAGGACCUCGGGGUCAUGAUCUGAGCUGAAGGAAGAUGCUUCACCACCCAAGCCCCCCAGGCCCCCAUGGGAGGGUCUUCCGAUAUGCCCUGGGCCCCCCUGCCAUUCAGGGACCCCCUAGACCACCCGCUGGCUCCCUCAUUCGCUAGAAGGACUCAGAGCUCAGCCAAGCCCUAUGCUCCCGGGAGGACAGUCCAUUACAGAGGAAGGACACAGGCGGAAAUCAGCAGAGGGAGGAGGUAUGUGGGGCCGGGGCCAGGGCCAGAGAGACCAGGGCCAGGAGUCCUCUCCCCGGGGAGCUGCGUGGACGGAACUCAGCUGUUCAGAACGACAGCAGAACGUGCACAGUGUGUUGCUGAUCACGGCGCGCCCCUGAGCCUUGGCGCCCGUCUUUCCUGGGUCUCAGGCAGCCCUGAGCACACGGUGGCUGACCUCAGCGUGCAACCCCUCCAGAGUCGACCGGGUACCAUGCAGCCCACGGCCCCCAGGUCAAUGAAGAUGCUCUGUGGACAGGCCCACCCCCGGACAGGACCUCCCAGGAGCCACGACCAGACUUUUAUUUCUUGGACAAGCACCGCCUGGAUCAGAAUCAGGAAACCCGCUGUGCCUGGAAACCUCUGUGUAGCCCCGGAUGCUGCUCGGCGACACUCCACUCACCCAGAUCCCGGGGCAUCCGGCUGGAGCGCUGGGGUGCCGUUGGAGGCAUGGUGGGUGUCCAUCCCUGC